rnacentral:siRNA from 1 species
AUUUGGUGAAGAUGGUAUCUU